UGGGUGCCUGUGCACAGAAAUUUAGCUUCCUCAGUAUUUACAGAACAUAAAACAGUCCUCCUUGUUUAAGACUAGGAUGAACAUUUCUGUCACAUUAGGAAAGGCAACCUUAUUUUAUUCUGCAGCUGCUAUUUAAAUUCUAUAAGAUCUCUUUUGAUCCUAGGCAAAAUUCAAAAUGAGAUAUUCCAAACAUCUGCUAACUAUUAUGGGUCAUGCCUGCUAGUAGAGGUAAUAAAUUAUAGCCAAGAAGAGAAUCAAAUGUCUUAAUAAUGUUUUUUUGUUCAUUGCUUCAAAGUUUGUCCUCUUUCAGUGUUAUCUGUUCUCUUUUUGAGCAUGGUAGUCAACAUGCCUACAAAGAAGAUUGUGCUGUAGGUGAGGUGGUUGGGAUUGCAAUGGGAUGAGAGUGACACCCUCUAGUUUAAGUUAAGGGAAAAACAACAAACAAGUAGGUUUCUCUAUUUCAGAACAGAGGGAAAUCUAAAUCAAUCACAGAAACUCACUCUCUGUGCUGUGUGCCAAAAACAAGAUGGGUGGGUCUAGCAGAAUAUGGGAGAGAGGGCAUUUCAAUUUCCUCCAAAGGGGAGAUAACAGAUCAGCUUUCUAGUUUGUCAUGGAAACCUUUUGUCAACCCAGUAACAAUGACGUCAAGGUGGCAGUGGCACAGAGACUGGGUUAGUUAAUGUAGCACACACCUGUUGAACUGCCAGAGGGGAAGGUAUGUUGGCUCUUACAUAUUCCAUCCCUGAUUCUAAACAACUUUGGUGAAGGUUUAAAAAGCGUUAUUCAAGUCCCAAGACAGCUUUUGUGAGCUUUAGCAGAUUCUGACCGUGAGCAGGUGGUGCUGGAGCUUUCACUCAGGGAGAAAUCCUGCUAAAAGGAUUGCACUGCUCGAGCAGUGCCGUUCCCUCCUGUUUUGGGUAUCCUUUUAGAUGGUGGGGAGAGCAGACCUGUACUUGAAAAGAACAGCACCAAAUUCCUUCAGUGUGUUUGCUUUUCUUGGGAGUAAAGGCUCUGCUGGUGUUUACCAAAGGAGUUUUUUUAGAAACACUUCUAUAAAAAGAGAAACCCAAAUUUACUAUACCAGAUCUAUAGUGUGGAUGUAUAACAUUCCACUGUAGUGUGUUGUUGGAAUGACUGUUCUCCUGCCUGUUUCUCUGGUGGGUGCUGUGCUUUUCUUUAGUGCUGUUAACUGGCUACUUUUUCUUUUUUAAAGGGAGAUUAGAUCACUUGUUUGCUUCCUUCAGUGUUGCUUGUGUGACUACCUUCCCAUUAUUAGAAACCAGAAAAAUGCACUAACAUUUCCUUAGAAGUGAGCUGACUUCUUUUCAUGAGAAAAGUAUGUGGACAGGGAAAAUAGUCCAUUUUUUCUACACUAUUCAUGUUUACCAGCAAAACCACAGAAGUUGUGUUUGCAGAAGACUUUGAAUCAGUUAAAGUGUUGCACUGUGUCCAGAGUCAAUGCAGGUUCUGUUACUAUGGCUAGAGCAUUAAUUUAAUUAGUUGCAUUUCUUGUCUAUGGUAACACAUGAUAAUUCUCUUAAAGUGUGUCCUUGUUAUUGCUAACCAGUAUGCAGAUACAGAAUAUUUCCUAUCAUAUAGCUUGAAAGAGAAGUAGACCUAUUAUAGGGAUGAUGAGUCAAAUUAUAUCGGGUUGCAAAGCAGAAUUAAGGCUGAGAAAAAGAAUGGCAUAAAAUGACAUAAAGUGACCAGAAAAGGAAAAUGGAGCCAAUCAGUGUAAAUGACAUUUAUUGUUCAGUUAGAAUCCAACUGUAUGUAGUGGUGCCAGCAAAUUGCAGAAAUUUUUGCAAAGGGACUGUCUGGGAUUAUAAUUGUUCAAAUAGCCAAAGUUGAUGACCCAUGGUAUUCUAAUAGAGAUGGAUGAUGUCCGAUGGCUGCCAAGUUUCAAGGAGGUAAAAAAAACUAAAAUUGAGCAAUAAUUUCAUCUUCUGUAGAAGAUGAAAUUGUCCUUCAUAUGAAACAAAUAAGGUUUAGUUGCAUUAGCAGUGUUGCCAUUGUGGUAUGUGUAAAUUCUCUGGAGAUAUCUGUGAAGAACAAUGAUUUUCUUUGGCUUCAGUUUGGAAAAUGUUGUACACUCAUCUGUAUUUUUUCUUUACACCCAUUACUGGUGAUUUCAGCCUGACAGAAAGGUAUUUCAUGUGAUCUAAAAUCUCUGUUGUAUCAUUCAAUUUUAUUUGUGACUUUCUCACUGGAAGGCUAGAAAAAGGUGCUGUAGACAUUUUGAAAUAGGACUCUUCCUGAGUUUGCCCUGCCAGGGAAGGGGGCCAGUCUCAAAGACUGGCAAAUCUUCUGCUGCCACCUCUGAGCCAACAGCAAGUGUCCCCUCUGCCCCUGCCCUCUCUGGGGAGCAGCAGGAGUGGGGCAGUGGGAAAGGCUGUCCUUGGGGAGCCCAGGACCUUCUCAGGAGGAGAUGGCCUGCUGCUGCUGCAGAACCUUCUGCCUGUGUGCCAAGAGUGCACCUGCCUCUCAAUACUGUGUCCCCUGAGUUUUCUCUCUGUUUUCUGCAGGGCCUUUUCAGACUCUUUUUCAGACUCUCUUUGUUUUUUUUCUCACAUGCUUCAGUGGUGCAUAUUACUGACAAAAGUACCUUUGAUACAGGAGAGAGGCAGAUUCAUUUAUCUGCACCUUGGAUCAAUCCAGACAUUAGUUACGGUACAAUACGGAGCAGUGUGACAAAGGGUCCCUUUUUUGCUGGAGGGACAGAAAGGGGGCCCAGAAAGAAGAGAAGGAAACAGUGAGGGCUGUGCUAAGCUAAGUACCCACCCUUUAUAGGGCCACUACUUACUAAGGCCUCGUGAACCCUGAGAAGGAAAGAUGAUUUACAUUGUGUUUUCAUUGUUUACUUGUGGAAAUUCAGCAUUGAAAGAACCACCACCUCAUAACCAUAUUGUUAGAUGUGGUGAUGCAAGAAUAAAUUCCUAUUUCAUGCAGUAAAGGCUAAUUCAUUCUCUUCUACUUCAAGCAUGUUUUCCCUUCACUUAGGACUCAGUCUGGCAAACAGAGCAUUUCAGCAGUUUCUUCUUUAGAUUGGGUGGGGGUUAAUGAGGUUUGAACACAUAGCUCUGCUACUGUAUUGCCUGGGAUAGAGGAAAUUGCUUACUUAUUAUUUAUCAUUCUUAUUUUAGGAAAGGAAGCAGAUGUUUAUGCCAAAAAUCUCCCAGCAUUGAUGAAGUAAUACUGAAUUCAUAAAACAGAAUUUGUUAAGGGAGCGUAAUUCUUGACUCAAAAAGGAAAUAUUCAGCCAAGCCCUAGGUACCCGUGUUGCUGUCUGCCCUCCAUCGCUGCAGUCCAGUGCUCCCACAGCCCUUUUCCUUUCCAGUGCCUCUCUCCCUCCCUGCAUGGGCUCCUGUUCUCCGUCUCACCUGAACCUAGGAUGCCACAAAAUCCCUUGCUAUUCCAGCUGAAAUAAAGUAACUCAGAGCCACUGUCAAA